GCCUGGCUGGCUCAGCUGGUAGAACGUGUGACUCUUGAUCUCAAGGUUGUGAGUUCGAGCCCCAUGUUGGGUA
rnacentral:tRNA from 1 species